rnacentral:pre_miRNA from 1 species
CAAUUACUCCCUCCGUCCGAAAUUACUUGUCAUCAAAAUGGAUGAAAAUGGAUGUAUCUAGAACUAAAAUACAUCUAGAUACAUCCAUUUCAAUGACAAGUAUUUCCGGACAGAGGGAGUACUAU